rnacentral:piRNA from 1 species
AGCCAUGGGUGACUCAUUAGGUUUUGUACA